rnacentral:rRNA from 1 species
UACAGGGGGGGCAAGCGUUGUUCGGAAUUACUGGGCGUAAAGGGCUUGUAGGUGGCCAACUAAGUCACACGUGAAAUCCCCAGGCUUAACCUGGGAACUGCGUGUGAUACUGGAUGGCUUGAAUCCGGGAGAGGGAUGCGGAAUUCCAGGUGUAGCGGUGAAAUGCGUAGAUAUCCGGAGGAACACCGGUGGCGAAGGCGGCUUCCUGGACCGACACUGACGCUGAUGAGCGAAAGCUAGGGGAGCAAACGGG